rnacentral:rRNA from 1 species
AGAGUUUGAUCAUGGCUCAGGACGAACGCUGGCGGCGUGCUUAACACAUGCAAGUCGAGCGGAAAGGCCCUUCGGGGUACUCGAGCGGCGAACGGGUGAGUAACACGUGAGCAACCUGCCCCUGGCUCUGGGAUAGCUCCGGGAAACCGGGAUUAAUACCGGACAUGACUGCGUGCUGCAUGGCGCGUGGUGGAAAGUUU